AGUGAACGCUGGCGGUAGGCCUAACACAUGCAAGUCGAACGGCAGCACAGUAAGAGCUUGCUCUUACGGGUGGCGAGUGGCGGACGGGUGAGGAAUACAUCGGAAUCUACUUUUUCGUGGGGGAUAACGUAGGGAAACUUACGCUAAUACCGCAUACGACCUACGGGUGAAAGCAGGGGAUCUUCGGACCUUGCGCGAUUGAAUGAGCCGAUGUCGGAUUAGCUAGUUGGCGGGGUAAAGGCCCACCAAGGCGACGAUCCGUAGCUGGUCUGAGAGGAUGAUCAGCCACACUGGAACUGGGACACGGUCCAGACUCCUACGGGAGGCAGCAGUGGGGAAUAUUGGACAAUGGGCGCAAGCCUGAUCCAGCCAUACCGCGUGGGUGAAGAAGGCCUUCGGGUUGUAAAGCCCUUUUGUUGGGAAAGAAAAGCAGCAGGUUAAUACCCCGCUGUUCUGACGGUACCCAAGGAAUAAGCACCGGCUAACUUCGUG
rnacentral:rRNA from 1 species